rnacentral:rRNA from 1 species
AAACUUGAGAGUUUGAUCCUGGCUCAGAACGAACGCUGGCGGCAGGCUUAACACAUGCAAGUCGAACGCCCCGCAAGGGGAGUGGCAGACGGGUGAGUAACGCGUGGGAAUCUACCUAGUUCUACGGAACA